UGGAAAGAAAGGACGCAUGGGACCAUUAGAGUCAUGCUCAUAUGAAAACAAGGAGAAAAGAAAAUUUGAUGUUCUCCCUCCAAAUUUCAAACAUUUGAAAGAGUUCCUGCUCCGCCGCGCCGGAGCUCAUCAUCGGCGGCGGCGGAGCUCAAACCAUGAGACUAGGCACACCAAACCCUUCCUCUCAAGCUUACGAACAUGAAGAACAGCCUCACUAAACCUAAUUUCUAAGCAGUCAGACGAAUCGAAGAAGAUGACGCAAGAACCCUAGAAAUGAAAACAAAAAUUAAAUGCUGAAGAAAGUGAAUCAAAGCCUCAAAUUAUAGGGCUUUGAUUCCAUGCGAGCUACUUUACACGGUGGCACCUCACACACAAUAAACUGAAGAGUUUUAGCAACCGAAAAAGCGACAGGUUUUGAUGCAUUGCAGGUUGCAUUGAUUUGGCAAGGCAUUGGCAAUGUGGUGAUGGUUGCAGCAUGUUUUUUCCCUGCAGGGGUAACUGUGUAUGCAAUAAUAUGUUUGGCUUGGCCUUGCUGGAUUGUUAUGAGGUUGUAGGAUUAUGCAUGGUUGAAGUGUUGCAGUUUGGAUUGGCAGGUUUUAUGGUCAUGUGGUGCAUUGCAGGCUAGGUCUGAAUUUGUUAGGUUUUGUCAUGGAAUUGCAGGACUGGUGCAUGGUUUGUUCAUGUGAUACCAUGGCCUGUUGUAGCUUGGAUUGAUGGAGGUUUGGACUGUGCAGGUGUGCAUUAUUGUCUUGAUUAUUUGAUGUGAUGGACUGGUGAAGGAAUGUUGCAGGGUGGUUUUAAAACAUUGUGUUGUAGGUUUUGCCUUGGUAUGGUUGGUAAUGUUGUUGACUGAUGUUGAUGUUCAUGGUAGUUUUUGCAGUAUGGCAUAACAAGGUUGUAUGUGUUUGUUGCAAUAAAAAUGGUUUCUCAUGAAUUGCUUGUAGCUUGCUGCAGGUUGGUGUUUUCAUUUCAGGAUCCUUGUUUUGCAGGUCUGUAGAUGACUUUGCAAGGUUUGUUUGUUGUUGUUGUCUUGAUUUCUAGUUGACUUGAAUGGUAUGCAUGAUGAUUGUCAGUGGGUUAUGUUUAUAAUUCUUAUGGUUGCAGCUGACUUUGCAAGGUUUAUGUUGUGUUUGACAUGGCUGCAGCUGAGUUUUAGUGAGUUCCUCGAGUGCCAAGUAAUGGCCCUGCUGCAUUGUUGUCUUCAAUUUUGUUAUAUGUUAUUGUAGGAUGUUGCUGCAGAAUUAUUCAUGGCUUUGGUUCAGGUUAAUGGUAUGUUAUGGUAAGCCCUUGGUCAUAUGGUUGGUUGCUAGCAUUGUUUGACAUGAUGAACAUGGUUGAAAUCAUGACUUGCAAAUGAAGAAAUUAUGUAAAGAUUACCAAAUUUAAGAACAUGGAAUCAAUGGUGGAUCAUAGAUGAAUUAUGGAAUAAUGGAAGAAUGGAUUAGGGUUUAGGAUGCUCAAAGUUGGUUAGUUGACUUUGGUCAACUGGUUGACCAAAAAUUCAAUAGUUGACCAAAAGUCAACUUAGGUAGAAAAGUCAAUUUUUUUGUGUAAUCUCUUUUGUAUGGACAUUUGUAAUGAAAUAAGCAUUUGGUGAAUGAAAA